rnacentral:tRNA from 1 species
UCCCCAAUAGCUCAGCGGUAGAGUAGGUGACUGUUAAUCACUUGGUCGUAUGUUCGAAUCAUACUUGGGGAGCCA